CUCUUUGUGUUGGUAGUGCACACCCUCACCAGGAGCACUGAUACCGAUUUAACUGUCAGUGUGGGGCAUUGUGGGAUGGCUUCUGAAAGCCAGCAACAGUCAAUGUCAGCAAUGCAGUGUCUGCACUGACACUGCGUCAACCUAACUAUGUUGUCAUUAAAUCUAUGU